rnacentral:rRNA from 1 species
UACGGAGGGCGCGAGCGUUACCCGGAUUUACUGGGCGUAAAGGGCGUGUAGGCGGCUUGGGGCGUCCCAUGUGAAAGGCCACGGCUCAACCGUGGAGGAGCGUGGGAUACGCUCAGGCUAGACGGUGGGAGAGGGUGGUGGAAUUCCCGGAGUAGCGGUGAAAUGCGCAGAUACCGGGAGGAACGCCGAUGGCGAAGGCAGCCACCUGGCCCACAGGUGACGCUGAGGCGCGAAAGAGUGGGGAGCAAACCGG